rnacentral:rRNA from 1 species
UACGAAGGGGGGCUAGCGUUGCUCGGAAUCACUGGGCGUAAAGGGUGCGUAGGCGGGUCUUUUAAGUCAGGGGUGAAAUCCUGGAGCUCAACUCCAGAACUGCCUUUGAUACUGAAGAUCUUGAGUUCGGGAGAGGUGAGUGGAACUGCGAGUGUAGAGGUGAAAUUCGUAGAUAUUCGCAAGAACACCAGUGGCGAAGGCGGCUCACUGGCCCGAUACUGACGCUGAUGCACGAAAAGCGUGGGGGAGCAAAACAGG